UGGGGAAUAUUGCACAAUGGGCGAAAGCCUGAUGCAGCAACGCCGCGUGAGUGAUGAAGGCCUUCGGGUUGUAAAGCUCUGUCUUUUGGGACGAUAAUGACGGUACCAAAGGAGGAAGCCACGGCUAACUACGUGCCAGCAGCCGCGGUAAUACGUAGGUGGCAAGCGUUGUCCGGAUUUACUGGGCGUAAAGGAUGCGUAGGCGGAUUUUAAGUGAGAUGUGAAAUACCCGGGCUUAACUUGGGUGCUGCAUUUCAAACUGGGAAUCUAGAGUGCGGGAGAGGAGAAUGGAAUUCCUAGUGUAGCGGUGAAAUGCGUAGAGAUUAGGAAGAACACCAGUGGCGAAGGCGAUUCUCUGGACCGUAACUGACGCUGAGGCAUGAAAGCGUGGGUAGCAAACAGGAUUAGAUACCCUGGUAGUCCACGCCGUAAACGAUGAGUACUAGGUGUAGGAGGUAUCGACCCCUUCUGUGCCGCAGUUAACACAAUCAAGUACUCCGCCUGGGAAGUACGAUCGCAAGAUU
rnacentral:rRNA from 1 species